rnacentral:rRNA from 1 species
ACGGGUGAGUAAUGUCUGGGGAUCUGCCCGAUAGAGGGGGAUAACCACUGGAAACGGUGGCUAAUACCGCAUAACGUCGCAAGACCAAAGAGGGGGACCUUCGGGCCUCUCACUAUCGGAUGAACCCAGAUGGGAUUAGCUAGUAGGCGGGGUAACGGCCCACCUAGGCGACGAUCCCUAGCUGGUCUGAGAGGAUGACCAGCCACACUGGAACUGAGACACGGUCCAGACUCCUACGGGAGGCAGCAGUGGGGAAUAUUGCACAAUGGGCGCAAGCCUGAUGCAGCCAUGCCGCGUGUAUGAAGAAGGCCUUCGGGUUGUAAAGUACUUUCAGCGGGGAGGAAGGCGACGUGGUUAAUAACCGCAUUGAUUGACGUUACCCGCAGAAGAAGCACCGGCUAACUCCGUGCCAGCAGCCGCGGUAAUACGGAGGGUGCAAGCGUUAAUCGGAAUUACUGGGCGUAAAGCGCACGCAGGCGGUCUGUUAAGUCAGAUGUGAAAUCCCCGGGCUUAACCUGGGAACUGCAUUUGAAACUGGCAGGCUUGAGUCUCGUAGAGGGGGGUAGAAUUCCAGGUGUAGC